rnacentral:rRNA from 1 species
ACGCACGCUGGCGGCGUGCCUAAUACAUGCAAGUAGCACGCUGAAGGAGGAGCUUGCUUCUCUGGAUGAGUUGCGAACGGGUGAGUAACGCGUAGGUAACCUGCCUGGUAGCGGGGGAUAACUAUUGGAAACGAUAGCUAAUACCGCAUAAUAGCAGUUGUUGCAUGACAACUGUUUGAAAGGUGCAAUUGCACCACUACCAGAUGGACCUGCGUUGUAUUAGCUAGUUGGUGGGGUAACGGCUCACCAAGGCGACGAUACAUAGCCGACCUGAGAGGGUGAUCGGCCACACUGGGACUGAGACACGGCCCAGACUCCUACGGGAGGCAGCAGUAGGGAAUCUUCGGCAAUGGACGGAAGUCUGACCGAGCAACGCCGCGUGAGUGAAGAAGGUUGUCGGAUCGUAAAGCUCUGUUGUAAGAGAAGAACGAGUGUGAGAGUGGAAAGUUCACACUGUGACGGUAGCUUACCAGAAAGGGACGGCUAACUACGUG